AACUUGCUAGCUCAGUCGGUAGAGCGUGAGACUCUUACGAUUCAAAUACAUCGAUGCAUAAAUCGUGAUCUCAAGGUUACGGGUCUGAUCCCCGCGUGGGGUU